CACGUUCAUCUCGAAAGAGACGGAAGUAGACGAUAGUCGAAGGAACGCAUG
rnacentral:ncRNA from 10 species